rnacentral:rRNA from 1 species
UCGAGCGAGACCUUCGGGUCUAGCGGCGGACGGGUUAGUAACGCGUGGGAACGUGCCCUUCUCUGCGGAAUAGCCACUGGAAACGGUGAGUAAUACCGCAUACGCCCUUCGGGGGAAAGAUUUAUCGGAGAAGGAUCGGCCCGCGUUAGAUUAGAUAGUUGGUGGGGUAACGGCCUACCAAGUCUACGAUCUAUAGCUGGUUUUAGAGGAUGAUCAGCAACACUGGGACUGAGACACGGCCCAGACUCCUACGGGAGGCAGCAGUGGGGAAUCUUAGACAAUGGGCGCAAGCCUGAUCUAGCCAUGCCGCGUGUGUGAUGAAGGUCUUAGGAUCGUAAAGCACUUUCGCCAGGGAUGAUAAUGACAGUACCUGGUAAAGAAACCCCGGCUAACUCCGUGCCAGCAGCCGCGGUAAUACGGAGGGGGUUAGCGUUGUUCGGAAUUACUGGGCGUAAAGCGCGCGUAGGCGGAUUGGAAAGUUGGGGGUGAAAUCCCGGGGCUCAACCCCGGAACUGCCUCCAAAACUAUCAGUCUAGAGUUCGAGAGAGGUGAGUGGAAUUCCAAGUGUAGAGGUGAAAUUCGUACAUAUUUGGAGGAACACCAGUGGCGAAGGCGGCUCACUGGCUCGAUACUGACGCUGAGGUGCGAAAGUGUGGGGAGCAAACAGGAUUAUAUACCCUGGUAGUCCACACCGUAAACGAUGAAUGCCAGUCGUCGGGCAGUAUACUGUUCGGUGACACACCUA